rnacentral:rRNA from 1 species
GAUCCUGGCUCAGAUUGAACGCUGGCGGCAGGCCUAACACAUGCAAGUCGAGCGGAUGAGUGGAGCUUGCUCCAUGAUUCAGCGGCGGACGGGUGAGUAAUGCCUAGGAAUCUGCCUGGUAGUGGGGGACAACGUUUCGAAAGGAACGCUAAUACCGCAUACGUCCUACGGGAGAAAGCAGGGGACCUUCGGGCCUUGCGCUAUCAGAUGAGCCUAGGUCGGAUUAGCUAGUUGGUGAGGUAAAGGCUCACCAAGGCGACGAUCCGUAACUGGUCUGAGAGGAUGAUCAGUCACACUGGAACUGAGACACGGUCCAGACUCCUACGGGAGGCAGCAGUGGGGAAUAUUGGACAAUGGGCGAAAGCCUGAUCCAGCCAUGCCGCGUGUGUGAAGAAGGUCUUCGGAUUGUAAAGCACUUUAAGUUGGGAGGAAGGGCAGUAAGUUAAUACCUUGCUGUUUUGACGUUACCGACAGAAUAAGCAC